rnacentral:rRNA from 1 species
GACGAACGCUGGCGGCGUGCUUUAGGCAUGCAAGUCGAACGCGAAAGCCCCUUCGGGGGUGAGUAGAGUGGCGAACGGGUGAGUAACACGUGGGUAACCUGCCCCUCGCAGGGGGAUAACCGGGGGAAACCCCGGCUAAUACCCCGUACGCUUGCUGGGGCGCAUGCUCCGGCAAGGAAAGGUAGCUUCGGCCAUCCGGCGAGGGAGGGGCCCGCGGCCCAUUAGCUAGUUGGUGGGGUAACGGCCCACCAAGGCGACGAUGGGUAGCUGGCCUGAGAGGGUGGUCAGCCCCGCUGGGACUGAGACACGGCCCAGACUCCUACGGGAGGCAGCAGCCAGGACUCUUGCGCAAUGGGCGAAAGCCUGACGCAGCAACGCCGCGUGGGCGAUGAAGGCCUUCGGGUCGUAAAGCCCUGUUGUCGGGGACGAAGGGCGAAGGGUUAAUAGCCCCUAGCCUGACGGUACCCGACGAGGAAGCCCCGGCUAACUACGUG